UGCCCCAUAGUCUGGGAUACCACUUGGAAAACAGGUGCUAAUACCGGAUAAGAAAGCAGAUCGCAUGAUCAGCUUUUUAAAAGGCGGCGUAAGCUGUCGCUAUGGGGAUCGGGCCCCCGCGGUGCAUUAGCUAGUUGGUAAAGGUAAAAGGGCUUACCAAGGCGAUGAUGCAUAGCCCGAGUUUGAGAGACUGAUCGGCCACAUUGGGACUGAGACACGGCCCAAACUCCUACGGGAGGCAGCAGUAGGGAAUCCUCCACAAUGGACGCAAGUCUGAUGGAGCAACGCCGCGUGAGUGAAGUAAGGUUUUCGGAUCGUAAAGCUCUGUUGUUGGUGAAGAAGGAUAGAGGUAGUAACUGGCCUUUAUUUGACGGUAAUCAACCAGAAAGUCACGGGCUAACUACGUGCCAGCAGCCGCGGUAAAU
rnacentral:rRNA from 1 species